rnacentral:rRNA from 1 species
GUAGUCUCGCACAGAUGCAUAUCAAUAAGCGGAGGAAAAGAAACUAACAAGGAUUCCCCCUAGUAACGGCGAGUGAAGCGGGAAGAGCUCAAAUUUGAAAUCUUAAAGGGUUUCCCUUUACGAAUUGUAGUUUAAAGAAGUGUUUUCUGUUGAGGUUUUGGUAAAAGUUCUUUGGAAUAGGACAUCAUAGAGGGUGAGAAUCCCGUAUUUGACCUUUACUUUCAACUUUGUGAUACACUUUCAAAGAGUCGGAUUGUUUGGGAAUGCAGUCCAAAAUGGGUGGUAAAUUUCAUCUAAAGCUAAAUAUUGGCGAGAGACCGAUAGCGAACAAGUACCGUGAGGGAAAGAUGAAAAGAACUUUGAAAAGAGAGUUAAACAGUACGUGAAAGUUGUCAAAAGGGAAGCGUUUGACACCAGUGUUGUUUUUCUGAAAAUCAAUUAAAGAACUGUUUAUGCUAAGCUGUUUAGACUUUAUCAGCUAUCUGUUUAGUUUUGAGCUUUUCUUUAAUGCACUUUUCAGUUAACAAGUCAACAUCAAUUUCUUUUGCUGUAAAAAAGCUUGAGGAAGGUGGCUUGAGAUUCGUCUUAAGUGUUUAUAGCCUCUUGCCUAUGCAGUCGGAGAGAUUGAGGUCUGCAGCGUAGAUCCUUCGGGGCUAAAUGCAUUUGUGCUAAGUUAUAGCAUUUUAUAGACAACUUGUUGACUAUGAUUUGUCUUGUAGCUUACUCGCUUAUGUUAUUUUACCUACGCUUAGGAUGUUGAAGACUCUACAGAGAUA